rnacentral:rRNA from 1 species
CGAUGUCGCUGCCUAUACUGCAGUCGAGCGGACAGAUGGGAGCUUGCUUUCUGAUGUUAGCGGCGGACGGGUGAGUAACACGUGGGUAACUCUGCCUGUAAGACUGGGAUAACUCCGGGAAACCGGGGCUAAUACCGGAUGGUUGUUUGACCCGCGACGUAGUGUCACAAACAUAAAAAUUGUCUUCCGCUACCACUUACAGAUGGACCCGCGGCGCAUUAGCUAGUUGGUGAAGUAACGGCUCACCAAGGCAACGAUGCGUAGCCGACCUGAGAAGGGGUGAUCGACCACACCUGGACUGAGACACGGCCCAGACUCCUACGGGAGGCAGCAGUAGGGAAUCUUCCGCAAUGGACGAAAGUCUGACGGAGCAACGCCGCGUGAGUGAUGAAGGUUUUCGGAUCGUAAAGCUCUGUUGUUAGGGAAGAACAAGUACCGUUCGAAUAGGGCGGUACCUUGACGGUACCUAACCAGAAAGCCACGGCUAACUACGUGCCAGCAGCCGCGGUAAUACGUAGGUGGCAAGCGUUGUCCGGAAUUAUUGGGCGUAAAGGGCUCGCAGGCGGUUUCUUAAGUCUGAUGUGAAAGCCCCCGGCUCAACCGGGGAGGGUCAUUGGAAACUGGGGAACUUGAGUGCAGAAGAGGAGAGUGGAAUUCCACGUGUAGCGGUGAAAUGCGUAGAGAUGUGGAGGAACACCAGUGGCGAAGGCGACUCUCUGGUCUGUAACUGACGCUGAGGAGCGAAAGCGUGGGGAGCGAACAGGAUUAGAUACCCUGGUAGUCCACGCCGUAAACGAUGAGUGCUAAGUGUUAGGGGGUUUCCGCCCCUUAGUGCUGCAGCUAACGCAUUAAGCACUCCGCCUGGGGAGUACGGUCGCAAGACUGAAACUCAAAGGAAUUGACGGGGGCCCGCACAAGCGGUGGAGCAUGUGGUUUAAUUCGAAGCAACGCGAAGAACCUUACCAGGUCUUGACAUCCUCUGACAAUCCUAGAGAUAGGACGUCCCCUUCGGGGGCAGAGUGACAGGUGGUGCAUGGUUGUCGUCAGCUCGUGUCGUGAGAUGUUGGGUUAAGUCCCGCAACGAGCGCAACCCUUGAUCUUAGUUGCCAGCAUUCAGUUGGGCACUCUAAGGUGACUGCCGGUGACAAACCGGAGGAAGGUGGGGAUGACGUCAAAUCAUCAUGCCCCUUAUGACCUGGGCUACACACGUGCUACAAUGGACAGAACAAAGGGCAGCGAAACCGCGAGGUUAAGCCAAUCCCACAAAUCUGUUCUCAGUUCGGAUCGCAGUCUGCAACUCGACUGCGUGAAGCUGGAAUCGCUAGUAAUCGCGGAUCAGCAUGCCGCGGUGAAUACGUUCCCGGGCCUUGUACACACCGCCCGUCACACCACGAGAGUUUGUAACACCCGAAGUCGGUGAGGUAACCUUUAGGAGCCAGCCGCCGAAGGUGACAGUUAGGGU